GAUGAAGAACGUAGUGAAAUGCGAUAAGUAGUGUGAAUUGCAGAAUUCAGUGAAUCAUCGAAUCUUUGAACGCACCUUGCGCUCCUUGGUAUUCCAUGGGGCAUGCCUGUUCGAGCGUCAUUUGUACCUUCAAGCUUUGCUUGGUGUUGGGUGUUUGUCCUGAGGGACUCGCCUUAAAGUAAUUGGCAGCCAGUGUUUUGGUUUUGAAGCGCAGCACAAGUCGCGAUUCAAAGCUAUACGCCAGCUUCCACAAGCCUUUUUUCACUUUUGACCUCGGAUCAGGUAGGGAUACCCGCUGAACUUAAGCAUAUCAAUAAGCGGAGGA
rnacentral:misc_RNA from 1 species